rnacentral:lncRNA from 1 species
CCACUUGUGUGGUGCUAGUCUUUGCUGCUGACCUGAUGUAAUAGUGGUAUACUUGAGUACUUACUACUAACUAGGCAACAAAACUGCUGCUUUAGAAUCAUGAGUUUGUACCCCUUUCACGUACAGUUUUUGCUAUGCUAAGCAAACCUUGGGUUUGAGGCAAUAAGUACUAGUUUACUUGUGCCACUUUGUCUCAUAACAGAGUUGUCAUGCCUACUUUGUUGAAUUACUGAUAUUUUUUUGUUUAUUUUCUCUCUACUAUAAAGAAUAAGUUGGUUUUCUUAAAUGGUAGUAUUAGUGGUCCUUUGUAUCCAUAGUAAAACUAGUUCAGUUGCACAACAUUCACAGUGUGUAGGGUAUUUCUGUAAGGUACAUGUCCAUUUCCCCCUUUGCUGCACCCAGACAUAGCAAUAUACUCAAUAGUAAAUAAAUAUAAACACUCCAAACAAUAUAGAGUUUGUGAGGUCAUCAGGCCAAAAAAGUGAGUAAUUGUGGUAAAUAAAGGUACAGCAUGCUUACUUGUUGAUAUAACAUGGAUGAGUUUGUAAAAGUCCUCUUAGUUUUGUAUUUUUUUUUUACGGGCAAGGGGUGAUUUAGAUGAUGGGGAGGGUAAAAUCAAUAGUUUUCAGGAUCAUAAGAGGAAUCUGACUCAGUGUUGCUAAAAAAGGAAAACAUCGAAAGUAAUCAAAGUUAACAUAGGAAAUCAUUGAUUCACUUUCGUUAGAACUGCUGUUACUAUGUUUUUAAGUUUUUAAGUUUUUAAGUUUUUAAUGUAAAAUGUUUGCACCUAAUUCCGCCUUGAAAAUGAGUUCCUAGAUAAAAAUCAAAACUAAAGAUGUCACUGUCAGCACCCCCAACGCCACAAACUAUUAUUAUCACCAAUGUUCUGCAGAUGUUACACCUUACAAGUACGUGAUUUCGAAUCUCCAACAUUUAGCUCAGUUAACUGUUACACUACAUGAGGUGCUAAGCAAGUUGACUCAUGAUUGAAUAUAUCAAUUAAAGGAGACAAGUACAGGAACUACCCUGAUGAAGUUUUGAUAUUUCUUCCUAUCAGGGAUCAACAGUUGUAUAGUGUUUGAUGGUAACUUGGAGCGACUAUGGAGAGGAUCAGAGUUCAUAUAUUGUUCAUAUCUCAAUUUCAGGAUAUACAAUAAAAUUACAAAAUUAUCAAGUGCUUAUCUGAUCUUCAGUAAUUGCUUAUCUAUUCUACAGCGAAGUCUGAGAUAUUUUGAUUUCCCGACAAGAAG